rnacentral:rRNA from 1 species
GUUCCCCCUUAGUCCCUUCCUCCCGGAUAAAAGCCUAGCCCCCAUGUAACAGACUAAGAGCUAUUUAAAGGGGGUACAGCCCCUUUAAAAAGGGAUACAGCCCCUACUAGAGGAUAACCCCACCCUUACCCCCCCCCCCGUGGGCCUUAAAGCAGCCACCCCCAAAGAAUGCGUCAAAGCUCCACAACCAAAAAUACCAGAAACUACGCGACUCCCUAUACCCACAACAGGCCAACCUAUAUACAAUAGAUGAACUAAUGCUAGAACGAGUAACCAGGAUAACACUCCCCCUAAGCGCCAGCCUACAUAAAAUUAACAGCACAACUACAAUACUAAGCAAGAACAACCCCCGACCAAAUAUUGAACCCACCCUGUCAACCCAACUCAGGAGCGCACACUAGGACGAUUAAAAUCUGCAAAAGGAACUCGGCAAACCCAAGGCCCGACUGUUUACCAAAAACAUAGCCUUCAGCCAAACAAGUAUUGAAGGUGACGCCUGCCCAGUGACACCACGUUUAACGGCCGCGGUAUCCUAACCGUGCAAAGGUAGCGCAAUCAAUUGUCUCAUAAAUAGAGACCUGUAUGAAUGGCUAAACGAGGUCUUAACUGUCUCCUGCAGAUAAUCAGUGAAACUGAUCUCCCUGUACAAAAGCAGGGAUAAGCACACAAGACGAGAAGACCCUGUGGAACUUCAAAAUCAAUAGCCACCGC